rnacentral:rRNA from 1 species
CGAACGGGUGAGUAACACGUAAGUGACCUACCCCAAAGAGGAGAACAACCAUGCGAAAGCGUGGCUAAUACUCCAUAUGGUCGGCCAUUCAUUUGGUCGAUUAAAGCUCCGGCGCUUUGGGAGGGGCUUGCGGCCCAUCAGCUAGUUGGUAGGGUAAUGGCCUACCAAGGCGAUGACGGGUAGCUGGUCUGAGAGGACGAUCAGCCACAAUGGCACUGAAACACGGGCCAU